GCCACAUCACGAUGAAACACCAGCUCCUGUACAAUCACCAAAGUUAAGCAAUAUCAAGCCUGGUCAGUACCUUGAUGGAUGACUGCUUGGGAAUACUAAGUGUUGUAAG